rnacentral:rRNA from 1 species
AAGCAUAUCAAUAAGCGGAGGAAAAGAAACCAACAGGGAUUGCCUUAGUAACGGCGAGUGAAGCGGCAACAGCUCAAAUUUGAAAUCUGGCCCUUGGGUCCGAAUUGUAAUUUGUAGAGGAUGAUUUUUGGUGCGGUAUCUUCCGAGUUCCUUGGAACAGGACGCCUUAGAGGGUGAGAGCCCCGUACGGUUGAAUGCCUAGCCUCUGUAAAUCUCCUUCGACGAGUCGAGUAGUUUGGGAAUGCUGCUCUAAAUGGGAGGUAAAUUUCUUCUAAAGCUAAAUAUUGGCCAGAGACCGAUAGCGCACAAGUAGAGUGAUCGAAAGAUGAAAAGCACUUUGAAAAGAGGGUUAAAUAGCACGUGAAAUUGUUGAAAGGGAAGGAUUUGUGACCAGACUUUUUCUGGGCGGAUCAUCCGGGGUUCUCUCCGGUGCACUUCGCCCAGUAAAGGCCAGCAUCGGUUUUCGGCGUGGGAUAAAAGCAGUAGGAAUGUGGCUCUCUACGGGGAGUGUUAUAGCCUAUUGUAUAAUACCGCGCUGGGGACCGAGGUUCGCGCUUCUGCAAGGAUGCUGGCGUAAUGGUUAUCAAUCACCCGUCUUGAAACACGGACCAAGGAGUCGAACAUUUGUGCGAGUGUUUGGGUGUUAAACCCUCACGCGUAAUGAAAGUGAACGGAGGUGAGAGCCCUUACGGGUGCAUCAUCGACCGAUCCUGAAGUUUUCGGAUGGAUUUGAGUAAGAGCAUAACUGUUCGGACCCGAAAGAUGGUGAACUAUGCGUGGAUAGGGUGAAGCCAGAGGAAACUCUGGUGGAGGCUCGCAGCGGUUCUGACGUGCAAAUCGAUCGUCAAAUCUGCGCAUGGGGGCGAAAGACUAAUCGAACCAUCUAGUAGCUGGUUACCGC